GACGAACGCUGGCGGCAGGCUUAACACAUGCAAGUCGAGCGCCCCGCAAGGGGAGCGGCAGACGGGUGAGUAACGCGUGGGAAUCUACCCAUCUCUACGGAAUAACUCAGGGAAACUUGUGCUAAUACCGUAUACGCCCUUCGGGGGGAAGAUUUAUCGGAGAUGGAUGAGCCCGCGUUGGAUUAGCUAGUUGGUGGGGUAGUGGCCCACCAAGGCGACGAUCCAUAGCUGGUCUGAGAGGAUGAUCAGCCACACUGGGACUGAGACACGGCCCAGACUCCUACGGGAGGCAGCAGUGGGGAAUAUUGGACAAUGGGCGAAAGCCUGAUCCAGCCAUGCCGCGUGAGUGAUGAAGGCCCUAGGGUUGUAAAGCUCUUUCACCGGUGAAGAUAAUGACGGUAACCGGAGAAGAAGCCCCGGCUAACGGAGGGCCAGCAGCCGCCGUAACAC
rnacentral:rRNA from 1 species